UUGGGCUACAUUUUCUAAUGCAAGUAUCCGCCCCCCUGUGAAAACGCCCUUAAUCCCCCUUCUAGGGACAAGGAGCUGGUAUCAGGCACAAUAAUUUGCCCAAGACACCUAGCUAUGCCACACCCACAAGGGAAUUCAGCAGUAAUUAACAUUGAAAAUUAGSGCAAGCUUGACUCAGUUAAAGUAAUAUAGAGCCGGCAAAUCUGGUGCCAGCCGCCGCGGUUACACCACGUGACUCAAAUUGACCCCCUCCGGCGUAAAGCGUGAUUAAAGGAGUUGAACUAAGACUAAGCUGUGACACGCCUGUCUAUAAGAAAACCUAAAACGAAAGUUACUCUAAUUUAAUAAACUUGAACUCACGACAGCUGGGAAACAAACUGGGGAUUAGAUACCCCACUAUGCNCAANCGUAAACUUUUAUUUACAUAUCAUCGCCAGGGGAACUACNAGCCAAGCUUAUGUACCAAUUGACUUGACGGUACCCCACAUCCACCUAGAGGAGCCUGUCCUAUAAUCGAUAAUCCUCGCUUAAYCUCACCAUUUCUAGUUAUCAGCCUGUAUACCUCCGUCGCCAKCUUACCAMGUKAGCGCCAAUUAUUGAGCCCAAUGUUUUUYACCAAUACGUCAGGUCAAGGNGCACUAAAUGAAACGGAAAGAGAUGGGCUACACUUUCUACUUUAGAAGAAACGGAAAACUAUCUAUGAAACCUAGUUAKAAGGCGGAUUUAGCAAUAAAAAGGGAUCAUAWUACCCAUUUUWACCCKGCAYUGGGGUGUGUACACACCGYCCGUCACCCUCUUCAAAGCCCAACAAGUAUGRRCUWAUCAAGGCAUAACAGU
rnacentral:ncRNA from 1 species